rnacentral:rRNA from 1 species
UCGAGCGGGGAAGGGUAGCUUGCUAUCUGAUCUAGCGGCGGACGGGUGAGUAAUGCUUAGGAAUCUGCCUAUUAGUGGGGGACAACAUUCCGAAAGGAAUGCUAAUACCGCAUACGCCCUACGGGGGAAAGCAGGGGAUCUUCGGACCUUGCGCUAAUAGAUGAGCCUAAGUCAGAUUAGCUAGUUGGUGGGGUAAAGGCCUACCAAGGCGACGAUCUGUAGCGGGUCUGAGAGGAUGAUCCGCCUCACUGGGACUGAGACACGGCCCAGACUCCUACGGGAGGCAGCAGUGGGGAAUAUUGGACAAUGGGCGAAAGCCUGAUCCAGCCAUGCCGCGUGUGUGAAGAAGGCCUUUUGGUUGUAAAGCACUUUAAGCGAGGAGGAGGCUACCGAGAUUAAUACUCUUGGAUAGUGGACGUUACUCGCAGAAUAAGCACCGGCUAACUCUGUGCCAGCAGCCGCGGUAAUACAGAGGGUGCGAGCGUUAAUCGGAUUUACUGGGCGUAAAGCGUGCGUAGGCGGCUUUUUAAGUCGGAUGUGAAAUCCCUGAGCUUAACUUAGGAAUUGCAUUCGAUACUGGGAAGCUAGAGUAUGGGAGAGGAUGGUAGAAUUCCAGGUGUAGCGGUGAAAUGCGUAGAGAUCUGGGGGAAUACCGAUGGCGAAGGCAGCCAUCUGGCCUAAUACUGACGCUGAGGUACGAAAGCAUGGGGAGCAAACAGGAUUAGAUACCCUGGUAGUCCAUGCCGUAAACGAUGUCUACUAGCCGUUGGGGCCUUUGAGGCUUUAGUGGCGCAGCUAACGCGAUAAGUAGACCGCCUGGGGAGUACGGUCGCAAGACUAAAACUCAAAUGAAUUGACGGGGGCCCGCACAAGCGGUGGANCAUGUGGUUUAAUUCGAUGCAACGCGAANAA